GAUGAACGCUGGCGGCGUGCCUAAUACAUGCAAGUCGAGCGAACAGAUAAGGAGCUUGCUCCUUUGACGUUAGCGUCGGACGGGUGAGUAACACGUGGGUAACCUACCUAUAAGACUGGGAUAACUUCGGGAAACCGGAGCUAAUACCGGAUAAUAUUUCGAACCGCAUGGUUCGAUAGUGAAAGAUGGUUUUGCUAUCACUUAUAGAUGGACCCGCGCCGUAUUAGCUAGUUGGUAAGGUAACGGCUUACCAAGGCGACGAUACGUAGCCGACCUGAGAGGGUGAUCGGCCACACUGGAACUGAGACACGGUCCAGACUCCUACGGGAGGCAGCAGUAGGGAAUCUUCCGCAAAGGGCGAAAGCCUGACGGAGCAACGCCGCGUGAGUGAUGAAGGUCUUCGGAUCGUAAAACUCUGUUAUUAGGGAAGAACAUACGUGUAAGUAACUGUGCACGUCUUGACGGUACCUAAUCAGAAAGCCACGGCUAACUACGUG
rnacentral:rRNA from 1 species